CAGUCGCCGCGGGAAUACGUAGGUGGCGAGCGUUGUCCGGAAUUAUUGGGCGUAAAGGGAGCGCAGGCGGACGUGUAAGUCCAUCUUAAAAGUGCGGGGCUCAACCCCGUGAGGGGAUGGAAACUGUAUGCCUUGAGUGCAGGAGAGGAAAGCGGAAUUCCCAGUGUAGCGGUGAAAUGCGUAGAUAUUGGGAGGAACACCAGUGGCGAAGGCGGCUUUCUGGACUGUAACUGACGCUGAGGCUCGAAAGCCAGGGGAGCGAACGGGAUUAGAUACCCCCGUAGUCCCUGUCUCUUAUACA
rnacentral:rRNA from 1 species